UACAGAGGGGGCAAGCGUUGUUCGGAAUUACUGGGCGUAAAGGGCGCGUAGGCGGCCCGCUAAGUCGAACGUGAAAUCCCCGAGCUCAACUCGGGAACUGCGUCCGAUACUGGUGGGCUUGAAUCCGGGAGGGGGAUGCGGAAUUCCAGGUGUAGCGGUGAAAUUCGUAGAUAUUCGCAAGAACACCAGUGGCGAAGGCGGCUCACUGGCCCGUUACUGACGCUGAGGCACGAAAGCGUGGGGAGCAAACAGG
rnacentral:rRNA from 1 species